rnacentral:rRNA from 1 species
GACGAACGCUGGCGGCGUGCCUAAUACAUGCAAGUCGAACGCUUCUUUCCUCCCGAGUGCUUGCACUCAAUUGGAAAGAGGAGUGGCGGACGGGUGAGUAACGCGUGGGUAACCUACCCAUCAGAGGGGGAUAACACUUGGAAACAGGUGCUAAUACCGCAUAACAGUUUAUGCCGCGUGGCAUAAGAGUGAAAGGCGCUUUCGGGUGUCGCUGAUGGAUGGACCCGCGGUGCAUUAGCUAGUUGGUGAGGUAACGGCUCACCAAGGCCACGAUGCAUAGCCGACCUGAGAGGGUGAUCGGCCACACUGGGACUGAGACACGGCCCAGACUCCUACGGGAGGCAGCAGUAGGGAAUCUUCGGCAAUGGACGAAAGUCUGACCGAGCAACGCCGCGUGAGUGAAGAAGGUUUUCGGAUCGUAAAACUCUGUUGUUAGAGAAGAACAAGGACGUUAGUAACUGAACGUCCCCUGACGGUAUCUAACCAGAAAGCCACGGCUAACUACGUG